UCAACCUCCACCAAGACCCACUGCCACCACCAUACUUUUUUCCCUCUUUUUUGUUGUUCUAGUUUCUUCAAAGUUUUUGGUUGGAAUCUUUUUGUUGUUCAAGUUUCUUUAGAGUUAGAGAAAACUCUUAUUCAGAUUUGGCUUCUUGUGCAAAAGGACUUGAGGAUCAUGGGCUGAAUCAUUGU